rnacentral:rRNA from 1 species
GUCCACGCUGUAAACGAUGGGCACUAGGUGUCUGGGGUAUUGACCCCCUGGGUGCCGCAGCUAACGCAUUAAGUGCCCCGCCUGGGGGAGUACGGUCGCAAGAUUAAAACUCAAAGGAAUUGACGGGGGCCCGCACAAGCGGUGGAGCAUGUGGUUCAAUUCGACGCAACGCGAAGAACCUUACCUGGGCUAGACAACAGUGGACCGUCCUAGAAAUAGGAUCUUCCCUUCGGGGACCGCUGGUUCAGGUGCUGCAUGGCUGUCGU